GCUGCACUGACGCUCAUGCACGAAAGCGUGGGGAGCAAACAGGAUUAGAUACCUGGUAGUCCACGCCUAAACGAUGUCAACUGGUUGUUGGGAAUUUAUUUUCUCAGUAACGAAGCUAACGCGUGAAGUUGACCGCUGGGGGGUACGGUCGCAAGACUAAAACUCAAAGGAAUUGACGGGGACCCGCACAAGCGGUGGAUGAUGUGGUUUAAUUCGAUGCAACGCGAAAAACCUUACCCACCUUUGACAUGUACGGAAGUUGCCAGAGAUGGCUUCGUGUCGAAAGAAGCCGUAACACAGGUGCUGCAUGGCUGUCGUCAGCUCGUGUCGUGAGAUGUUGGGUUAAGUCCCGCAACGAGCGCAACCCUUGUCAUUAGUUGCCAUCAUUAAGUUGGGCACUCUAAUGAGACUGCCGGUGAUAAACCGGAGGAAGGUGGGGAUGACGUCAAGUCCUCAUGGCCCUUAUAGGUGGGGCUACACACGUCAUACAAUGGCUGGUACAAAGGGUUGCCAACCCGCGAGGGGGAGCUAAUCCCAUAAAGCCAGUCGUAGUCCGGAUCGCAGUCUGCAACUCGACUGCGUGAAGUCGGAAUCGCUAGUAGUCGUGGAUCAGCAUGUCACGGUGAAUACGUUCCCGGGUCUUGUACACACCGCCCGUCACACCAUGGGAGCGGGUUCUGCCAGAAGUAGGUAGCUUAACCGUAAGGAGGGCGCUUACCACGGCAGGGCUCGUGACUGGGGUGAAGUCGUAACAAGGUAACCA
rnacentral:rRNA from 1 species